UGGGGAAUAUUGCACAAUGGGGGAAACCCUGAUGCAGCGACGCCGCGUGAACGAAGAAGGUAUUCGUAUCGUAAAGUUCUGUCCUAUGGGAAGAUAAUGACAGUACCAUAGAAGAAAGCUCCGGCUAAAUACGUGCCAGCAGCCGCGGUAAUACGUAUGGAGCGAGCGUUGUCCGGAAUUAUUGGGCGUAAAGGGUAUGCAGGCGGUUUAAUAAGUCGAAUGUUAAAGAUCGGGGCUCAACCCCGCAAAGCAUUGGAAACUGAUAAACUUGAGUAGCUGAGAAGAAAGUGGAAUUUCUAGUGUAGUGGUGGAAUGCGUAGAAAAUAGGAGGAAUACCAGUAGCGAAGGCGACUUUCUGGACACAAACUGACGCUGAGGUACGAAAGCGUGGGGAGCAAACAGG
rnacentral:rRNA from 1 species